rnacentral:rRNA from 1 species
UACGGAGGGUGCAAGCGUUAUCCGGAAUCACUGGGUUUAAAGGGUGCGUAGGCGGCUUGAUAAGUCAGGGGUGAAAGCCCGCAGCUUAACUGCGGAACUGCCUUUGAUACUGUCGAGCUUGAAAGAGGUUGAGGUCAGCGGAACGUGACAUGUGGCGGUGAAAUGCAUAGAUAUGUCCCAGAACACCGAUUGCGAAGGCAGCUGGCUGGACCUACUUUGACGCUGAGGGACGAAAUCGUGGGGAGUGAACAGG